CGUGUAGGCGGAAUUGCAAGUCAGAAGUGAAAUCCCCGGGCUUAACCCGGGAACUGCUUCUGAAACUGCGGUUCUUGAGUACUGGAGAGGAAAGCGGAAUUCCUAGUGUAGCGGUGAAAUGCGUAGAUAUUAGGAGGAACACCAGUGGCGAAGGCGGCUUUCUGGACAGAGACUGACGCUGAGGCGCGAAAGCGUGGGGAGCAAACA
rnacentral:rRNA from 1 species